rnacentral:rRNA from 1 species
GGUCAAAUCAUCACGUCUCUUACGUCUUGGGCUACAGGCACGCUACAAUGGUCGCCACAAAGAGAUGCAAAAUGGUAACAUCGAGCUAAUCUCAAAAAAGCGGCCCCAGUUCAGAUUGUGGGCUGAAACUCGCCCACAUGAAGGUGGAAUUGCUAGUAAUCCCGGAUCAGCAUGCCGGGGUGAAUACGUUCCCGGGGUUU